CCAAUAGCGUAUAUUAAAGUUGUUGCAGUUAAAAAGCUCGUAGUUGAACUUCAGGCCUGUCCAGACGGUCCGCCUUAAUUGGUGUGUACUGUCCUUGGGUGGGUCCUACCUUCUGGCGAAGCGGCAUGGCCUUAAUUGGUUGUGUCGGGGAACCAGGACUUUUACUGUGAAAAAAUUAGAGUGUUCAAAGCAGGCAAAUAUGCUCGAAUACAUUAGCAUGGAAUAAUGGAAUAGGACGAUGGUUCUAUUUUGUUGGUUCUAGGACCGUUGUAAUGAUUAAUAGGGAUAGUUGGGGGCAUUAGUAUUCAAUUGUAAGAGGUGAAAUUCUUGGAUUUAUUGAAGACUAACUACUGCGAAAGCAUUUGCCAAGGAUGUUUUCAUUAAUCAAGAACGAAAGUUAGGGGAUCGAAGACGAUCAGAUACCGUCGUAGUCUUAACCAUAAACUAUGCCGACUAGGAAUCGGGCGAUGUUGACAAAAUGACUCGCUCGGCACCUCAUG
rnacentral:rRNA from 1 species